AUUGAACGCUGGCGGCAGGCCUAACACAUGCAAGUCGAGCGGAUGAAGGGAGCUUGCUCCUGGAUUCAGCGGCGGACGGGUGAGUAAUGCCUAGGAAUCUGCCUGGUAGUGGGGGAUAACGUCCGGAAACGGGCGCUAAUACCGCAUACGUCCUGAGGGAGAAAGUGGGGGAUCUUCGGACCUCACGCUAUCAGAUGAGCCUAGGUCGGAUUAGCUAGUUGGUGGGGUAAAGGCCUACCAAGGCGACGAUCCGUAACUGGUCUGAGAGGAUGAUCAGUCACACUGGAACUGAGGCACGGUCCAGACUCCUACGGGAGGCAGCAGUGGGGAAUAUUGGACAAUGGGCGAAAGCCUGAUCCAGCCAUGCCGCGUGCGUGAAGAAGGUCUUCGGAUUGUAAAGCACUUUAAGUUGGGAGGAAGGGCAGUAAGUUAAUACCUUGCUGUUUUGACGUUACCAACAGAAUAAGCACCGGCUAACUUCGUG
rnacentral:rRNA from 1 species